rnacentral:tRNA from 1 species
ACCUGACCAGCUCAGUUGGUGGAACAUGGGACUCUUGAUCUCCGGGUUGUGGGUUCGAGCCCCACGUUGGGUG